rnacentral:rRNA from 1 species
GACGAACGCUGGCGGCGUGCUUAACACAUGCCAGUCGAACGGAAAGACCCUGCUUUUGUGGGGUGCUCGAGUGGCGAACGGGUGAGUAACACGUGAGUAACCUGCCCUUGACUUUGGGAUAACUUCAGGAAACUGGGGCUAAUACCGGAUAGGAGCUCCUGCUGCAUGGUGGGGGUUGGAAAGUUUCGGCGGUUGGGGAUGGACUCGCGGCUUAUCAGCUUGUUGGUGGGGUAGUGGCUUACCAAGGCUUUGACGGGUAGCCGGCCUGAGAGGGUGACCGGCCACAUUGGGACUGAGAUACGGCCCAGACUCCUACGGGAGGCAGCAGUGGGGAAUAUUGCACAAUGGGCGGAAGCCUGAUGCAGCAACGCCGCGUGCGGGAUGACGGCCUUCGGGUUGUAAACCGCUUUCGCCUGCGACGAAGCGUGAGUGACGGUAAUGGGUAAAGAAGCACCGGCUAACUACGUG